UACGUAGGGUGCGAGCGUUGUCCGGAAUUAUUGGGCGUAAAGGGCUCGUAGGCGGUCUGUCACGUCGGGAGUGAAAACUCAGGGCUUAACCCUGAGCCUGCUUCCGAUACGGGCUGACUAGAGGUAUGCAGGGGAGAACGGAAUUCCUGGUGUAGCGGUGAAAUGCGCAGAUAUCAGGAGGAACACCGGUGGCGAAGGCGGGUCUCUGGGCCGAUACUGACGCUGAGGAGCGAAAGCGUGGGGAGCGAACAGG
rnacentral:rRNA from 1 species